rnacentral:rRNA from 1 species
AUUACUCCUACGGGAGGCAGCAGUGAGGAAUUUUGCGCAAUGGGCGAAAGCCUGACGCAGCGAUGCCGCGUGGGGGAUGAAGGUUUUCGGAUUGUAAAGCACUUUCAUGAGGAAAGAUAAAGUGGGUAGCCUCGUAGACGGUACCUCAAGAAUAAGCCACGGCUAACUUCGUGCCAGCAGCCGCGGUAAUAAU